AUUCAGCUGACGAGUUUGAAAUAGGACGAAACGCACGUCCUGGGU
rnacentral:hammerhead_ribozyme from 1 species